rnacentral:lncRNA from 1 species
AAAUGCUCCGCAGGGCCAGGCUCCCGGCUUGCACAGCUGGCUGGUCUUCCGCCUGGACAGACGUCAUGAAUGUGGCUCAGACCCAGAGCGCGGCCCCACUCGUUUCGGGGAGGACAGGAGUUGGGUUUAAUUUGGGCAACAUGCAGUGCCGUGUGUGAGCGGAACACGCAUUCCCGUGGGGUUAGAAACGUCCAGCUCCUUAUGGGGGUCAUGGUCAGAAUGGCCUGGACCUUCACUACGGCCAGCCCCUGACCACUGUGAUUCUGCGGGGCUGGGGCUGGGGCUGGGCCUGGGCCUGUGCUGCAGGUGAGUCCUGCCCAGGUGGGGAGUGCUCGGAGGUCAACAGCACUAUUGCCGUGUUAAUCCACCCCCCGAGCCAAUGCUUCCCACACUUCGCUUCAAUCACGCGACAGUCCUGAGCGGAUGGAGUGCACUGGUGUGAUCUCAGCUCAACCUCCGCAUCCCAGGCUCAGCGACAGGGUUUCGCCACGCUGCCCAGACUGGUCUCAAUUCCUGGGCUUAAGUGAUCUGUCUGCCUUGGCCUCCCAUCGUGCUGAGAUGACAGGCGUGAGCCACUGCACCCGGCCCAGGCUGUUUUCAAUUCCCCGUGUUCUGCUACCUUCCAGGUGGGGCGGGCUGGGAGGCCUCUUCUAGAGGGGCCCUCAGGCUGCUCCAAGCCCUGGAAUGCAGCCCUGGUGGCCUCAGAACACCCCAGCAGGCUGGACCCGUGCCUCUGCCCCAGGGUGUAGGGUCCGGGUGGCCUGGGGUCGUCCCCUUGGGAGCUGCAUGGGUGGCCGCUGCUACUCCUACCUGGGAGGACAUCCCGUGGCAGGGGUAGAGGAUCGCCCGGUCGCCGUCCUCCGCUCCCUGGUCCAGACAGUAGGCACUGGCUUUGCUGUUUCUCACCUGCAAGCAGAAGCCCCAGGAGAAAGUCCAGAGUCACCCGAGGGUGCGGCCCCAGGGAGCUUCACGCAGCCAGCUCUGCAGCCAGCACCUAAGGAGGAACCCUGACAGCCCUCUGAGAACAAGCCCGGGCCAGACUGCUGGGGGAUGUGUUGUCAUCGGGCAGCCAACCUCCAGCCUCCAGAACAGGCCCAUCGGAGAUCAGCACAGCCUGGAUCAGGCCAGCAGCACUGCCUGGGUGGCCCCGGCUCGUGAGCAAGUGUAGAUGCUUAUUGCUUUUGUCCACCGCGUCUCCAGGCUGCUGGGUUUGCAGCAGCAGCUGACCCAUCCACCACGGCCACCACGAGAGGUCACACAGGUACCACUUGAAGCUGCGACACUUCAGCCUCUGACGCAGGGCCAGCCUCUCAGACACGUCCCCGAAGUCCACCCCUGGGUUCUGCAAGGCCAGAAGUAGGUGAGAGGGAGGGUCUGAGGCAGCUGCUCCUGAUGGGAAGGACCCUGCCAGAGGCCAGCCCCGGCCUGGACAGACGGCCCCUGCUGCAGCCGGCUCGUCCACACCCACCCGGGCCCAGGAACCUCCUGCCUGAGAAGACGGCCCUGCUCACCUGGCCUUACUGCACGGCAUCAGCCUGACCUCUGGAGGGUGGAGACUGAGGUCAGCCAUAUCCAGAGACCAGCCUGGUGAGGACCCUGGAUACUGAGGCUUGGGGGCUCCUGGCUGGCCCCGCCUGGCACGUGUUGUCACGCAUGGGUGCCGGAGAAUCAAGUCCUUGGGACCCCCCGCGGGGGGACACCUGAGAGCUUGUACCUGGCCUUUCCUGGUCCCUGCCCAGGCGUCUCUUCCCUCUGCUGACUUUGACCCGUGUCCUCUGCCGUGAGAACCCACAGCCGAGUGCGGUGUCUGUGUCUUCCUGGGACUGUGGGGCCUGAGAGGCUGUAGGGACCAGCACUCUCUGACGGACAGCCAGCCCUGAGGGAGCACCUGCACCCUGCCCAGGGACCCUCCAGGCUCAGGCCUUGUGGGGAGGGCAGACGACUUGGCCUUCACGGCCUGGGCUUGAAUCCCGUCACCUUCUGGUAUGUGGGCCUGGGACAGUCCCCUAUCUUCUCUGUGCCUCAGUUACUCAUUGGUAAAGUGGGGACGAUCACGCCAGAAACUCAUUGUUGCUCUGUUAUGAGGUUUUAAUCAGCCAAGGGGCUCACACCAGGGCCCUUGGACACGGAGGUGACAGGCAUUUGCCGGCCUCACUGCCCGGGGGCCUGGAGCACCUCACUCAGUUGCCCACACACUUGGGGAGGUCAUCACCCUGCACGUUUUCCUUAUCACUUCAUGGAAAACAAGGCUGUAGGAGCACCGGGUACCCUCUUCUCGUCUCUCAGACACGAGUGCACGUGUCUACGGCUCCUGAUCUGCCUGGCGGGAGCUGAUAUGGGGGCUGGAUGCUGGAUUUGCAGUGAAUGGUCCAGCCCGGGGCCACUUCAGGCCGUGUCACCCACACGCUGGGGUGCACUCUAGCAGGGGGUGGUAAGCCAAUUUAGGGGCUGUGGUGGGAAGUUUUAAGAAGUAGUAAUAUUGUAAAUGAGAAGGGUCACUUUGGUGCUACGUACACAAAGCGCUGUAUGUGGACAGAUGUAAAUGUAUGCGUGUGUGCGCUGGGUCAUGACUUAAGAUCUGGCUCAUUAGGGUUGAUGCAGACAAGCCCGUUUCUAAGAUGAGCCCUCCCAGAACUCAGGGACCCAGUGCCUGCAGUGGCCAGGGAAGGAAGGGGGUGGUUCCAGAGACGCUGGGGUGUGGCGGGAUGGGUCGCGGCCACCCGUCUCAGUACCUGCCUUUCUUAGGGUUGUGGGGGUGGGGCGCUUUGAGAAAAGCCAGAAUUCAGGCUCUUUAUGGGAAAUUACAAAUUAGAAAACAAACAGCAAUCCUCAACUUGAAGCGGGUCAGCCACUCAUAGGCCAAAGCCCAACAGGAAACAACCAAAAACGUCCAUCCACGGACGAGUGGAUCCACACGAGGGGCCCUUUCACACUGUGGACGUGACUCAGCCAUGGUGGGGGUGACCUGGAAAAGGUGGCGCUGAGGACGGGAAGCCACACAGCGUAUGAGCCGUUCAUGAAACCGCCAGACAGUUGAGGCUGCCCGGGGCUGGGGAGGGGUCCGCACUGGCUGACAGGUGCUGUGCAGGGCACUAAGUGGGGCCCUGGCUGAGGCGGCGGCACCAGGUUGGGGAGAGGCCGCCCCUCCCUGGCUUCUAACCACGGGGCAAUUGCUCUAGGCUGAGAGGAAAAACGCCCACCACACCGGGGUGGGUGUGAGCUGGUCUCUUCCCAGUGUGAGGAAGGCUCCUUCCCAGGCAGACAGCUCACCCACUCACACCUGCACACACAACUGCUUGCACCUGUGCACACCUGUCAACACACCCACUCACACCUGCAGGGGGCCCUAGGGGGCCUCCCUCCGGCCCAGCCCUGCCGUGGCAUUGACCCCGACCCUGGGGCAUGGCCCCGGCUCCCGGCCUGUGGGGGACUCACCGACAU